UACGUAGGGCGCAAGCGUUAUCCGGAAUUAUUGGGCGUAAAGAGCUCGUAGGCGGUCUGUCGCGUCUGCUGUGAAAACCUGGGGCUUAACCCCGGGCCUGCAGUGGGUACGGGCAGACUAGAGUGCGGUAGGGGAGACUGGAAUUCCUGGUGUAGCGGUGAAAUGCGCAGAUAUCAGGAGGAACACCGGUGGCGAAGGCGGGUCUCUGGGCCGUAACUGACGCUGAGGAGCGAAAGCAUGGGGAGCGAACAGG
rnacentral:rRNA from 1 species